rnacentral:rRNA from 1 species
UCGAGAAUUUUUGGGGCAAUGGGCGAAAGUCUGACCCAGCAAUGCCGCGUGCGGGAUGAAGGUCCUCGGAUUGUAAACCGCUGUCGAGGGGGACGAAAUAUGACGGUACCCCUAGAGGAAGCCACGGCUAACUACGUGCCAGCAGCCGCGGUAAUACGUAGGUGGCGAGCGUUGUUCGGAUUUAUUGGGCGUAAAGGGUCCGCAGGGGGUUGAUUAAGUCUGAUGUGAAAUCCCUGAGCUUAACUCAGGAACUGCAUUGGAGACUGGUUGACUAGAGUAUUGGAGAGGUGAUUGGAAUUCCAGGUGUAGCGGUGGAAUGCGUAGAUAUCUGGAAGAACAUCGAAAGCGAAGGCAGAUCACUGGACAAUUACUGACCCUCGGGGACGAAAGCGUGGGGAGCAAACAGGAUUAGAUACCCUGGUAGU